GAUGAACGCUGGCGGCGUGCCUAAUACAUGCAAGUCGAGCGAACGGACGCGAAGCUUGCUUUUCUGAUGUUUGCGGCGGACGGGUGAGUAACACGUGGAUCACCUACCUAUAAGACUGGGAUAACUUCGGGAAACCGGAGCUAAUACCGGAUAAUCUUUUGAACCGCAUUGUUCAAAAGUGAAAGACGGUCUUGCUGUCACUUAUAGAUGGAUCCGCGCUGCAUUAGCUAGUUGGUAAGGUAACGGCUUACCAAGGCAACGAUGCAUAGCCGACCUGAGAGGGUGAUCGGCCACACUGGAACGGAGACACGGUCCAGACUCCUACGGGAGGCAGCAGUAGGGAAUCUUCGGCAAUGGGCGAAAGCCUGACGGAGCAACGCCGCGUGAGUGAUGAAGGUCUUCGGAUCGUAAAACUCUGUUAUUAGGGAAGAACAGAUGUGGAAGUAACUGUGCACAUCGUGACGGUACCUAAUCAGAAAGCCACGGCUAACUACGUG
rnacentral:rRNA from 1 species